rnacentral:rRNA from 1 species
AACGAACGCUGGCGGCAGGCUUAACACAUGCAAGUCGAGCGCCCCGCAAGGGGAGCGGCAGACGGGUGAGUAACACGUGGGAAUCUACCCAUCCCUACGGAACAACUCCGGGAGACUGGAGCUAAUACCGUAUACGCCCUUUGGGGGAAAGAUUUAUCGGGGAUGGAUGAGCCCGCGUCGGAUUAGCUAGUUGGUGUGGUAAAGGCCUACCAAGGCGACGAUCCGUAGCUGGUCUGAGAGGAUGAUCAGCCACACUGGGACUGAGACACGGCCCAGACUCCUACGGGAGGCAGCAGUGGGGAAUAUUGGACAAUGGGCGCAAGCCUGAUCCAGCCAUGCCGCGUGAGUGAUGAAGGCCUUAGGGUUGUAAAGCUCUUUCGCCAGGGACGAUAAUGACGGUACCUGGAUAAGAAGCCCCGGCUAACUUCGUGCCAGCCGCCGCAGUAAAAC